AGCAGCCGUUGGGUUGAGCCGAUCGUGCUUCAAAUAGUCCGACAGUUCAUUCUGCUGCUCGAAGGAGAGACUGUGAAUGUUGACCUGUUUCACAAACUUUUCCCCUGCCGGAAGCUCCGGUAACCAUUCGUCCGUGACUUACAUAUCGGCUGGGUACCAUCGGACGAGCACUUCCGUCCCUUCGCUGGGUAUGUGGCGACGGCUGAGCUGCAAUCCACGGAACGUUAUCGCUCCACCCGGUCCGCUUGCGAUGGUGGCAAGCCGUAUCAAGCGAUGCUGCAACCCUUCCAUCACACCGGAAUCGAAGAAAUCAAAACGGCGCGCUGCACGGAUGUACGGAAAACGGGAAACAUAACGAGCGAUUAGUGUUAAAGAUUUUUACUAAGAAUAUAUUCUGCGAUUGAUUCAGACUGUACAACUAACAACUGUACACCAGGGUAACAACUGUACCCGUGAUACAGUCGUGAACUCUAACGUCUCAAUAACAUGCCCGUCAUGGGUUCAAGCCUAGGAUGAACCGUCCCACCGUAGCAAGGAUUGACUAUCCGGCUGCGUGGUAAUGAAUUAAGUCUCGAAAGCCUGUGUAUAGGCCGGCAUGUCUUUGUAGGUCGUUACGCCAAAUAGAAGAGCUAACAACUGUCAAAAAGGUGUAGCUUUUUAUCAAAUAAAAAAAGAAUUUAAAAAAGUAUCGGCUAGUAGCUAGUGUAAAUAUCUUCAUAAAUUGUAACUUUCUGUUAAAUGACAUAGAAUAAGUUAAAGAAAAGCUAGUAUAAAUAAAGGCACCUGUAAGCUUCAUCA